GGGUUGUGAGGUUAAGCGACUAAGCGUACACGGUGGAUGCCCUGGCAGUCAGAGGCGAUGAAGGGCGUGCUAAUCUGCGAUAAGCGCCGGUAAGGUGAUAUGAACCGUUAUAACCGGCGAUACCCGAAUGGGGAAACCCAGUGUGACUCGUCACACUAUCAUUAACUGAAUCCAUAGGUUAAUGAGGCGAACCGGGGGAACUGAAACAUCUAAGUACCCCGAGGAAAAGAAAUCAACCGAGAUUCCCCCAGUAGCGGCGAGCGAACGGGGAGGAGCCCAGAGCCUGAAUCAGCAUGUGUGUUAGUGGAAGCGUCUGGAAAGACGCGCGAUACAGGGUGACAGCCCCGUACACAAAAGCGCAUGUGCUGUGAGCUCGAUGAGUAGGGCGGGACACGUGGUAUCCUGUCUGAAUAUGGGGGGACCAUCCUCCAAGGCUAAAUACUCCUGACUGACCGAUAGUGAACCAGUACCGUGAGGGAAAGGCGAAAAGAACCCCGGCGAGGGGAGUGAAAAAGAACCUGAAACCGUGUACGUACAAGCAGUGGGAGCACCCUUUGGGGUGUGACUGCGUACCUUUUGUAUAAUGGGUCAGCGACUUAUAUUCUGUAGCAAGGUUAACCGUAUAGGGGAGCCGUAGGGAAACCGAGUCUUAACCGGGCGUUAAGUUGCAGGGUAUAGACCCGAAACCCGGUGAUCUAGCCAUGGGCAGGUUGAAGGUUGGGUAACACUAACUGGAGGACCGAACCGACUAAUGUUGAAAAAUUAGCGGAUGACCUGUGGCUGGGGGUGAAAGGCCAAUCAAACCGGGAGAUAGCUGGUUCUCCCCGAAAGCUAUUUAGGUAGCGCCUCGUGAAUUCAUCUCCGGGGGUAGAGCACUGUUUCGGCUAGGGGGCCAUCCCGGCUUACCAACCCGAUGCAAACUGCGAAUACCGGAGAAUGUUAUCACGGGAGACACACGGCGGGUGCUAACGUCCGUCGUGAAGAGGGAAACAACCCAGACCGCCAGCUAAGGUCCCAAAGUCAUGGUUAAGUGGGAAACGAUGUGGGAAGGCCCAGACAGCCAGGAUGUUGGCUUAGAAGCAGCCAUCAUUUAAAGAAAGCGUAAUAGCUCACUGGUCGAGUCGGCCUGCGCGGAAGAUGUAACGGGGCUAAACCAUGCACCGAAGCUGCGGCAGCGAACGUAUCACUUAAAGCGAUUCAGCGGGUUACGAUUGACGGAGCGAAGCGACGUCAAAGCGUAUACAAAGUCGAGUCGGUUUAAGGAUACGUUCGUUGGGUAGGGGAGCGUUCUGUAAGCCUGUGAAGGUGGCCUGUGAGGGUUGCUGGAGGUAUCAGAAGUGCGAAUGCUGACAUAAGUAACGAUAAAGCGGGUGAAAAGCCCGCUCGCCGGAAGACCAAGGGUUCCUGUCCAACGUUAAUCGGGGCAGGGUGAGUCGACCCCUAAGGCGAGGCCGAAAGGCGUAGUCGAUGGGAAACAGGUUAAUAUUCCUGUACUUGGUGUUACUGCGAAGGGGGGACGGAGAAGGCUAUGUUGGCCGGGCGACGGUUGUCCCGGUUUAAGCGUGUAGGUGUGUGUUCCAGGUAAAUCCGGUUCACUUUAACACUGAGGCGUGACGACGAGGCACUACGGUGCUGAAGCAACAAAUGCCCUGCUUCCAGGAAAAGCCUCUAAGCAUCAGGUAACAUCAAAUCGUACCCCAAACCGACACAGGUGGUCAGGUAGAGAAUACCAAGGCGCUUGAGAGAACUCGGGUGAAGGAACUAGGCAAAAUGGUGCCGUAACUUCGGGAGAAGGCACGCUGACACGUAGGUGAAGUGAUUUACUCAUGGAGCUGAAGUCAGUCGAAGAUACCAGCUGGCUGCAACUGUUUAUUAAAAACACAGCACUGUGCAAACACGAAAGUGGACGUAUACGGUGUGACGCCUGCCCGGUGCCGGAAGGUUAAUUGAUGGGGUCAGCGCAAGCGAAGCUCCUGAUCGAAGCCCCGGUAAACGGCGGCCGUAACUAUAACGGUCCUAAGGUAGCGAAAUUCCUUGUCGGGUAAGUUCCGACCUGCACGAAUGGCGUAAUGAUGGCCAGGCUGUCUCCACCCGAGACUCAGUGAAAUUGAACUCGCUGUGAAGAUGCAGUGUACCCGCGGCAAGACGGAAAGACCCCGUGAACCUUUACUAUAGCUUGACACUGAACAUUGAGCCUUGAUGUGUAGGAUAGGUGGGAGGCUUUGAAGCGUGGACGCCAGUCUGCGUGGAGCCGACCUUGAAAUACCACCCUUUAAUGUUUGAUGUUCUAACGUGGACCCGUAAUCCGGGUUGCGGACAGUGUCUGGUGGGUAGUUUGACUGGGGCGGUCUCCUCCUAAAGAGUAACGGAGGAGCACGAAGGUUGGCUAAUCCUGGUCGGACAUCAGGAGGUUAGUGCAAUGGCAUAAGCCAGCUUGACUGCGAGCGUGACGGCGCGAGCAGGUGCGAAAGCAGGUCAUAGUGAUCCGGUGGUUCUGAAUGGAAGGGCCAUCGCUCAACGGAUAAAAGGUACUCCGGGGAUAACAGGCUGAUACCGCCCAAGAGUUCAUAUCGACGGCGGUGUUUGGCACCUCGAUGUCGGCUCAUCACAUCCUGGGGCUGAAGUAGGUCCCAAGGGUAUGGCUGUUCGCCAUUUAAAGUGGUACGCGAGCUGGGUUUAGAACGUCGUGAGACAGUUCGGUCCCUAUCUGCCGUGGGCGCUGGAGAACUGAGGGGGGCUGCUCCUAGUACGAGAGGACCGGAGUGGACGCAUCACUGGUGUUCGGGUUGUCAUGCCAAUGGCACUGCCCGGUAGCUAAAUGCGGAAGAGAUAAGUGCUGAAAGCAUCUAAGCACGAAACUUGCCCCGAGAUGAGUUCUCCCUGAGACUUAGAGUCUCCUGAAGGAACGUUGAAGACGACGACGUUGAUAGGCCGGGUGUGUAAGCGCAGCGAUGCGUUGAGCUAACCGGUACUAAUGAACCGUGAGGCUUAACCUUACAACGCCGAAG
rnacentral:rRNA from 1 species